rnacentral:misc_RNA from 1 species
GCACCUACUGGAAAAUGAAUGUAUAGAGUCGAGUCUCGAAGCGAGCACACAACUUCAAGGUUUUUGUGUGUGAACUCAAAGUUAGUCAGUGUGUGUGUGUGUGUUAAAUGUUGAAAUGAAUCUAAUAUUAGAAUGCAGAUAAAUAUGGCGCUUUUGAAAUAGUGCCUUAUUUACCCGCAAUUGUGUGUUGAUUGGGACCAAACACUAAGGACCAAGACCUUGUUUUCUUCCUUGGAAGACCUGUCAUGAUGUGGGGAGUUGGGUGAUGGGAGUUGGCACUUUGAAAAUUGUGUGUGCGGGUGAUUAAUAUCACAAGAAGAAAUAUCGCUGUCGUUCGGUCUUGUGGUUUUGGUGUGUUACCGUGCCUUGUACGUGUCAGGGUGAACUGUAGGCUCGGUCGUCACCGAGUGACUAAAUUUUCGUAUUUCACCCAUUUUUAUUCCACAAUAGACGACACAAAAACCGUUUUCGUUCGAAAUACAAGCCGUUGUUUACCUUCUUCUCUUGGAAAUGCAAUGUCGAAAAGAACAAGAAUGAAUGUUUAGUUGACAUAGAAGCUAGACCUUUUCAUGUUAGUGACUGGAAAGAAGAAAACAACAAUAAGCAACAGUGACACCAUGGAAGCUAUCACAGAUCAGGAUAGAAGGUCUCGUCUCCUCAAACUGGAGGAGAGAGUCUUCAAUCCAAGGGACAUUCUUAAUGCAGACUGCCUUCUUGAUGCUGUGCAAUCGAUGGUGUAUGACAGUGAUCAUCCAACCAUAAAGCGCAUGAAAAACAUAGAGGCUUUCAUCAACCGCUAUGCCAAAGUUGCAGAUGAGAUAAGCAGAUUGAGAGUAAAAGUGGAUGAUUUUUUAGUCAUCAAAGUCAUAGGAAGGGGAGCGUUUGGUCAAGUCCAAUUAGUAAGACAUAAAUCAACCAAGAAAGUUUAUGCUAUGAAACUUCUUAGCAAAUUUGAAAUGAUCAAAAGAUCAGAUUCAGCAUUCUUCUGGGAAGAGCGGGACAUUAUGGCCCAUGCCAAUUCCGAGUGGAUAGUAAGACUUCACUUUGCCUUCCAAGAUACAAAAUAUCUUUAUAUGGUUAUGGACUACAUGCCAGGCGGUGAUUUGGUGAAUCUCAUGUCGAAUUACGAUGUUCCCGAAAAGUGGGCAAAGUUUUACUGUGCCGAAGUGGUUCUAGCCUUGGAGGCUAUUCAUAACAUGGGUUUCGUUCAUCGAGACGUCAAACCAGACAACAUGCUGCUGGAUGCUUUAGGCCACUUGAAGCUAGCUGAUUUUGGCACUUGCAUGAAAAUGGACGAGGAUGGGCUCGUCCGAUCAGACACUGCCGUGGGUACACCAGACUACAUUUCGCCUGAAGUCCUCAAGUCACAAGGAGGAGAAGGAUUGUACGGGCGAGAAUGCGACUGGUGGUCUGUUGGGGUAUUCCUUUACGAAAUGUUGGUAGGAGACACGCCUUUCUAUGCCGAGAGUUUAGUGGGGACCUAUGGCAAGAUUAUGGAUCAUAAAAAUUCCCUUUCGUUCCCCGAUGACGUUGAAAUCAGUUCAGCCGCUAAAAGCUUGAUCUGUUCUUUCCUAACUGACAGGACGCAGCGCUUAGGGCGUAAUGGCGUUGAAGAAAUCCGCCAUCAUCAAUUUUUCGUCCAUGACCAGUGGACCUUUGAUACUAUACGAGACUGUGUCCCCCCGGUGGUACCGGAUCUGAGUGGCGAUGACGACACAAGCAAUUUUGAUGACGUUGAAAAUGACGACGCCCCAGAAGAAAAUUUCCCUGUUCCUAAGGCCUUUGCUGGCAAUCACUUGCCUUUUGUUGGGUUUACGUAUUCGAAAGAUUAUCAACUACUCACGGGAGGUUUAACGCAAGCGAGCACCAACGGUGGAAUAGAUCGUGUUGAUCGGGGAGCAGUGGGUAGAGAUACUGGGGCUCAGCGCAAAGUACUUGACUUGGAGGAGAUUGUGAACAAAGAAAAACGUCAGAUCGCCGAAUUGGAGCACAAGUACACGUUGACGCUACAUCAGCUAGAUCUAGCCACAACUCGAGAGGAGCAGUUGCGUAACGAAAGUUGCGAACUGGAACGGAAUCUUGCUUUGAUCAAGCACGAGCUUAAAGAAGCACAACGGCGAUCGGAAAAUGAUACAGAAAACCGAAAAAAGCUGGAACAGAAUAUCGCUGAGCUCAAACGGAAAUUGGAUGAAGAGCAGAGUCGCCGAACACGCGAUCAAAGCAAUUCACAGGCGGUUGCCGAACGUAUCAGCUCACUUGAAAAACAGUUGAUGGAAGCCAAUGAAAAGCUUAAACAAGAGACCGAUAGCCAUAAUAAAACCAAGAAACAAAAUGCGGAAUUCGCCAUGGGAGCUGCUGGCCGAGAGCACACCUUACUGGAACUGCAAGAUAAGGUGGCGGUGUUACAGCGUGCUCGAGAUGCACUGGAAGCUGAGUCUGCUGCCCUUCAGGCUCAAUUAGACCAAGAGAGAGCUUCUAGACAGCAAGAAGCUGAUCGUCAACAAGAGAUGGAAACUAGACGCCAGGCUUUGAUAACUGAGCUGGAUCGAACCAAAGAGCGCCAGGCAAACAAUCUUGCCGAGAACAAACGUCUGUCUGAGCGGAUCGUUGAAAUGGAGAAACGUUCUGCAUCACUUGAACUCGAACUCAAUGCUAUGACUUCCAAAUAUGAACGAGAGAAACGUGCUCAUCAGGAAACGGAGCAAAGCCGUUCAGGGAACCAAGAGGAAGCCAGUGCUGAAGUGGUUAAAACUCUGCAACUAAAGUUGCAAGAAGAGAAGGCAUCGCGACAAAAAGCGGAAAACCAGUGGCAAGAACGUGAACGUCAGAUUUCAAUGCUUUCGGUAGACUAUCGCCAAAUCCAACAGCAGCUGAAUAAACUAGAAGGAGAUCAUCGGCAGGAAGUUGACAAAACUAAAGGUCUCAUCCUACAACUUGAGCAAGAGUCUCAGAAAAGGUCACUUCUACAGAACGACCAGAGCGUUCUGUCCGCCGAAAUGGCCGUCCUACGUAGUCGUGAGCGCCAGCUACAACGUGAGCUGGAGGCGGCUCGUGACGUGGCCAGGAGUUUGGAGGAAGAACUACAUAAAUUGCGAACCAUCAAGUCCGUUGAUGAUUUGCAGAUGCGGGAACUCCAAGAUCAGUUGGAAGCCGAGCAAUAUUUCUCGACAUUGUACAAGACGCAAGUGACGGAGCUGCGCGAGGAGGCGGACGAAAAGACCAAGCAAGUUGGUGAAUUAGAAGACGAACGAGCAAGCAUCACCCAUCAACUCCAGCUAUCACUUGCUCGGGCGGAUUCUGAAGCCCUAGCGAGAGCAAUUGCCGAGGAGACGGUGGCAGAAAUGGAGAAGGAAAAGACCAUGAAAGAAUUGGAAAUCAAAGAUUUAGUGGCUAGACAUCGAGCUGAAAUCAUCAACAAAGAAGUAGCGCUCAACAGUCUGCGAGAAAGAGAGAAUGAAUUGAAAAAGACGUUCGACCUAGUCACGCAGGAGAACCAAGAUCUUGGUGCGAAAUUGAAAAGCGCACAGGAGGAGCUGGCACAGGCAUCCACGGCUUCUGUGGAUGAGGUAGAGCGGUUGCGGGUGAAGCUAAAGCAGGAGCAGCUGCUUAAGAUGCAAGCUGUCAACAAACUGGCCGAAAUCAUGAACCGUAGGGACAUGAAUCCUAUUGGCCGCAAUCCUAAGAAGAAUGCAGGUGGCGGGGCUGAUUUGCGACGCAAGGAGAAAGAAUGUCGUAAGCUUCAACAAGAGCUCGCCCAGGAAAGGGAGAAGUACAAUCAAGUGGUGGCCAAAUCGCAGAAAGAAACACAGGACCUGCAAUCGUUGCUUUAUGAAGAGAACCAGCUUCGGAUCAAGUUGCAGAUGGAGGUUGACAGCAAAGAUUCCGAAAUCGAGCAACUGUCGCAGAAGUUGGCAUCGGCAUCAGCCGAUACCGUCUCCAACAUAAGCAGUGAAUCGGAAGAAGGAGUUCAGGAUUCUUGGUUGGAAGGUUGGCUUUUUGUUCCUUCGAAGCAGAAUAUCCGACGCCACGGUUGGCGGAAGCAGUACGUUGUCGUCUCGUCCAAGAAAAUCUUCUUUUACAAUUCGGAGAGUGACAAACAAAACGCCGAUCCUGUCCUUAUCCUAGACCUGAACAAAGUUUUCCAUGUUCGGUCUGUUACUCAGGGCGAUGUCAUUCGCGCUGAUGCCAAAGAGAUCCCUCGUAUUUUGCAAAUUCUCUACGCCGGUGAAGGUGAAUCUCGCAAGCCAGACGAGAGCACCCCGCCACCGGAUUUAGUCGGUCGCGAAGAAAAACCUGGAACUGUUAACCACAAAGGUCACGAACUUGUGGCUAUCAGUUUCCACAUGCCAACCACUUGUGAAGUGUGUUCAAAACCUUUGUGGCACAUGUUCCGACCCCCGCCGGCCCUCGAGUGCCGCCGAUGUCGCAUCAAAGUUCACAAAGAACAUCUGGAUAAGCGCGAGGAGAUCAUUGCUCCCUGCAAAGUCCACUACGAUCCUAAUACGGCCAAAGAGAUGCUGUUGCUAGCAGGGACUUUAGAGGAGCAGCAGCAGUGGAUAUCACGGCUGUCGAAAAAGAUUCAGAAAUUCGGCUACAAGGCCAAUUCGGCCGCAAUGGGCGGUGCUGAGGGAGCACGUGUCUCUCCCAGGGAAUCGACUCGAUCGGCUUACCGUCCUUACGUACAGCAAAGAUCGGCUACUUUGCCGCCAAACAGCAUUCAGCCGGGAGUGCGCAACAGCAAAUGAAGGCCUUUCAGAGGUUGCCAAUCACUUUUUUCGUACAUGGUACACCUUUUCUACUAUACAGCAGGCCCGACAUGCGACACACACAAGUGACCUUCAAUGUUGUCUUCAACCCACCUCUUCACACUGUUUUUAUUUUGAAUCUUGAAACAGUUAUAUUUGUCUUGGGCAUCCCCCCAUCACUACCUAAAUGGAAUGCAUGGUGCAUAUGUAAUUACGCAGAAAAUAACAGGACGUAGGAGGAGAGAGAUAAAGGGACUGUGAAAGAUUUAGAUGGAAGGAAAACGUGACGUUACGCCGGGAGUUUUUGUUUCAGAUGAGUUGUUGAGCCCUCCCUUUGAUGCGACAGUUGCGUCAUUUACAUUCCUGAUUCGCCUACGCAUGUGUGUAUGUGAGUGUGUGAAGGAGCUUGGCCAUUUGUUGGUUUGAAAAGAAGUGGGAAAAAGAAAGUAGAGCACCGAUUUAAUAAUAUAGUCAUUGGGAGGGGACACAACGAAGAAGUUAGGGAUGGGCAGUAAUACAAAAUGGAUGCUAAAAAAAGUUACAACGACAAGACGAAAAAAAAAAUUGUGCCUUCUUUGUAUUUGCGUAUUGAAUUGCCUUGAAUUGUUUAUUACUUUAUUCUUCCUUUCCACUAUUGAUUUUUGUUGUGUCCGUCGAAAGGGAAAUCGAGCUUUUUUUUUUGUUUCCGUGCUUAUAAUAAUUCGGGCUGAUUGGGCAAUUCAAUCACACACGUUUCAAUCUAACCCCCCGCCACUUGUUUUUUAAAUUACAUUCGGUGGGGUUUAUUCCUUGGAAAACAAUUCAACAAAAACAUUUGAUGGGACAGCCCCUCAUUGCCUUUAUUACGACGCUGGUCGCGCUAUGAAGCUGUUUUUUUAAACUAACCUUUUUUAAAUCGUUCAACCUGAGUUGGUGGCAAACAAAAGAGACUAGAACGGAAACAAUUGCUUUUUCCUCAUCCCAAAUCUUAAAACAAAACAACAAAAAAACCACACAAAAAAAGAAACGCCUCUUGAUCCCUUUUCCCCCCAAAGCCAUGAUUUGUAUCCUCAUCUUCUAUAGAUAAAAAUCUUGAAAAACAACAAUUUUCACGUGCAACACACUUAAAGAUGUGAGUGUACAGAAUGAAUUGAAUUGCUCUCGUGUGUUUGUGUAAUAUAACUUUUGAUUUCUAAAUUUCAAAUUGAUUGCCUU